UACGUAGGGCGCAAGCGUUGUCCGGAAUUAUUGGGCGUAAAGAGCUCGUAGGCGGUUUGUCGCGUCUGCUGUGAAAACCUAAGGCUCAACCUUGGGCUUGCAGUGGGUACGGGCAGACUAGAGUGUGGUAGGGGAGACUGGAAUUCCUGGUGUAGCGGUGGAAUGCGCAGAUAUCAGGAGGAACACCGAUGGCGAAGGCAGGUCUCUGG
rnacentral:rRNA from 1 species